UAGAUGAUUUAGAAAUUUCCGUAUUAUAUAAUAGCAUUAGAUAAACGCUAUGAUAGAGAAAAACCUAAAUAUCACUUAAUUAAUGCUAUUUUAAGAAUUACGUGAGCGGAAAAAAUAAAAUCACCGGUUUCACCAAUACUUAGCAGGAAUUUAGAUUUAAGCGCUAAAAAUAUUAUUUAAGCGGCUAAAUAAAACUACGAAAGACUUAUAAUAGCAUUUUUAUAAUGCUAAGAAAAGCUAUUUGAACCCCUAAACCUUAAACAUGGUUUAAACCCUAAACACUAAACACAACCCUUAAAACUCUAAUCUUUUUAUAUUAUAACUUCAAUUCUUAAAAUUAAACUCAAAAUUUAAUCUUCUUGAUCUUAAACUAUAAUUUCCUAACCACAUAUCCUUAAUCUUUAAUCAAUCUCUAUAUCCUAAAUCAUAACUUCAAACAUAAACUAUACAUUCUCUGUAAACAUACAAACUUUUUAAAUGAUGACCAAAAUGAUAAUCUUGAUAUUAAUCUAAUAUUUCCAAACUUAAAUAUUAAUUAUUAAAAUAAAUAUCAAUUUAUUAUGUUCAAAAAUAACUUUAAACUUAAAUUCCAAAGUACAAAAUAUAAAUUUUGAAAUAAGAUAUAAGUAAGAAAAAUUAUUUACAAAACAAAUCAUCAAAGAUUGAAGGACAAAAAAAAGACAAUUUAUAAAGAGUAUUUUCUUGCUACCAUUUAGCAACAAAAUUUUUUGUAGGUCUUUAUAAAAUAGCCACGAAAUGCCACAGUUUAUUUGUACAUGCUUAAAACCCUAAACCCUAAAAUUUUUAUAAACCCUAAACCCAAAAUAUAAACCUUAAAACUCUAUUCUUUUUCAUAAUUUAAAUUAAAUCUUAAAUUUAAAUUCAUAAUUUAAUUUCAAAUCAUAAUUUAAACCCCAAAUACUAUAUUCCAACCCCUAAACUAUAAACAUAAACACUAUACCCAAAAUCAUAAAUCUAAACAUAAAAUCUUAUAUUUUAAAAUUAAAAUAUUAAACUUUAUUUUUAGAUCUUAUCUUCAACCCAAAUCCCCUUACUCAAAACUUUAGAUUCCAUAUACACUAAACUUUACUAUACAUACAAUACUCUAAAUAUAAACUUCAAAAAUAAAAUUUUGAAAAUUUAACUACAAAUCUUAGACCUAAUACUCAAAUCUAAUAUUUUCAUACUCUGAUCCAAAAUAUUAAAUCAUAGUCUUGAUAUUAAUCAAAUAUUUUCAAACUUAAACAUCAAUUCUUAAAAUAAAUAUAAAAUUAUUAUGUUCAAAAAAGAAAACUCUAAACUUAAAUUAUAAACUCGAAAAUAAAAAAUUUUAUAUAAGAUAUAACUAAGAAAAAUUACUUAGAAAACAAAUUAUCAAAUAUUUAAGGACAAAACAAAAAUAAAAAUAGAAAAAAAGACAAAAUUUCUGGCCAAUCAGAUUCAAAUACAUAAAUCACACUCUUAGCCACUGGAUUAACUUAGAUCUAAAGGUAGAGAUUUAUUCAAUUUAUUUAUUUUUUCUUCUCUCUCUCUCCCUCUCUCACGACAGAUCUCAUCUCAUCUCCUUCUCUGCUUUUUUUUUCCCGAUUCUCUCUUCUUCACUCUAACUUCUCAUUCUCAUAUCUCAUUCUCAUAUUCUCAUAUCUCAUAUCUCUCUUCUCUCUCAUCUCUCUCAACACCUCUCUCAUCAUCUCUCCCAUCUCUCUCAACGCCUCUCUCGUCUCACCACGACCGCGUCUCCUCCUCGUCUCACCACCACCGUUUUCCCACUUGUCUCACCACCACCACGGUCGACGUGGAGGAGCCAAGGUUCAUGGCGGCUGGAGGAGCCAAGGUUCAUGGCGGCUUGAGGAUGCAAGUCUCGUGGCGGCUGGAGGAAUCAAAGUUCAUGGCUGCUGGAAGAGGGACAAGGCUAUGGAGGAGGCAGCAUGAGUUUUUUCUUUAGGUUUAGGUUUUUUUAGGUCUGGUUAAGUGUAAACCGAGUUAGAAAAAUUGUAGUGGUCUGAUUUUAUUUUUGGGGAAAUUAGCUCAAUAUACUAAAAAAGAAGUGGAAUACCAUAGAAAGGGAGGGAAAUGGUUAUGAUGGGGGGGGGGGGGGGGAAAUAGAGUAUGGAGCUAAAUAUAUGAAACAUGGUGGGAUAGGGAGUACAAAUACUCUUUAUUUUUUUUAAUUUUUGGUUUAGUUUUGUAAACCAGAAUUAAUCUGUAAACCAAAUUUAAUUUAUUAAUAAAAUUUAUUUUAUUUUCA